AGAGUUUGAUCCUGGCUCAGAUUGAACGCUGGCGGCAUGCCUUACACAUGCAAGUCGAACGGUAACAGGUCUUCGGAUGCUGACGAGUGGCGAACGGGUGAGUAAUACAUCGGAACGUGCCCGAUCGUGGGGGAUAACGCAGCGAAAGCUGUGCUAAUACCGCAUACGAUCUACGGAUGAAAGCGGGGGAUCGCAAGACCUCGCGCGGACGGAGCGGCCGAUGGCAGAUUAGGUAGUUGGUGAGGUAAAGGCUCACCAAGCCGUCGAUCUGUAGCUGGUCUGAGAGGACGACCAGCCACACUGGGACUGAGACACGGCCCAGACUCCUACGGGAGGCAGCAGUGGGGAAUUUUGGACAAUGGGCGCAAGCCUGAUCCAGCCAUGCCGCGUGCAGGAUGAAGGCCUUCGGGUUGUAAACUGCUUUUGUACGGAACGAAACGGUCUUUUCUAAUAAAGAAGGCUAAUGACGGUACCGUAAGAAUAAGCACCGGCUAACUAC
rnacentral:rRNA from 1 species